rnacentral:rRNA from 1 species
CCUACGGGGGGCAGCAGUAAGGAAUAUUGGUCAAUGGGCGGAAGCCUGAACCAGCCAUGCCGCGUGCAGGAAGACGGCCUACGGGUUGUAAACUGCUUUUGCAGGGGAAUAUGUACUCUGAGAAUAAGGAUCGGCUAACUCCGUGCCAGCAGCCGCGGUAAUACGGAGGAUCCAAGCGUUAUCCGGAUUUAUUGGGUUUAAAGGGUGCGUAGGUGGCCUGUUAAGUCAGGGGUGAAAGACGGUAGCUUAACUAGCGCAGUGCCCUUGAUACUGAUGGGCUUGAAUGAACUAGAGGUAGGCGGAAUGUGACAAGUAGCGGUGAAAUGCAUAGAUAUGUCACAGAACACCGAUUGCGAAGGCAGCUUACUAUGGUUGUUGACACUGAGGCACGAAAGCGUGGGGAUCAAACAGGAUUAGAUACCCUGGUAGUC